GGUCAAUGAAGAACUUGAUCUGCAUACCUCAUUGAUGACCUAGACGAACAUGUUGAUGUUACCGAUUCUCGUCUACGGAGUGCAGAAAAACCUAAUAAUUUUGAACAAGCGAACCAAAGGUGGUUGUUCCUGUACGUGCAUGCUAUUAGUCGUUAUCGGAAUCGUGAUUUUGGUUGUCGAUAUAUACCUUCUGAUAAAAUAUUUGUAAUUACCAAUAAUUGCAAACACAACAAUUUCUCCAUUGUUGUAUG